rnacentral:rRNA from 1 species
AUUGAACGCUGGCGGCAGGCCUAACACAUGCAAGUCGAGCGGAUGAAGGGAGCUUUCUCCUGGAUUCAGCGGCGGACGGGUGAGUAAUGCCUAGGAAUCUGCCUCGUAGUGGGGGAUAACGUCCUGAAACGGGCGCUAAUACCGCCUACGUCCUGAUGGAGAAACUUGUUGAUCGUCGGACCUCACCCUAUCAUAUGAGCCUAGGGUGGAUUAGCUAGUUGGUGGGGUAAAGGCCUACCAAGGCGACGAUCCGUAACUGGUCUGAGAGGAUGAUCAGUCACACUGGAACUGAGACACGGACCAGACUCCUACGGGAGGGAGCAGUGGGGAAUGGUGGACAGUGGGCGAAAGCAUGGCCCAACGAUGCCACGUGUGUGGAGAAAGUCUUGGGAUUGUAAAGCCCUUUAAGUUGGGAGAAAGGGCAGUAAGUUAAUACCUUGCUGUUUUGACGUUAAUAACAGAAUAAGCACCGGCUAACUUCGUG